rnacentral:rRNA from 1 species
AACGAACGCUGGCGGCAGGCCUAACACAUGCAAGUCGAGCGGACCCUUCGGGGUUAGCGGCGGACGGGUGAGUAACGCGUGGGAACGUGCCCUUUGCUUCGGAAUAGCCCUGGGAAACUGGGAGUAAUACCGGAUACGCCCUUUGGGGGAAAGAUUUAUCGGCAAAGGAUCGGCCCGCGUUGGAUUAGGUAGUUGGUGGGGUAAUGGCCUACCAAGCCGACGAUCCAUAGCUGGUUUGAGAGGAUGAUCAGCCACACUGGGACUGAGACACGGCCCAGACUCCUACGGGAGGCAGCAGUGGGGAAUCUUAGACAAUGGGGGAAACCCUGAUCUAGCCAUGCCGCGUGAUCGAUGAAGGCCUUAGGGUUGUAAAGAUCUUUCAGUGGGGAAGAUAAUGACUGUACCCACAGGAGAAGCCCCGGCUAACUCCGUGCCAGCAGCCGCGGUAACAC